rnacentral:rRNA from 1 species
CAGUCGCCACGGUAAUACGUAGGGUGCGAGCGUUAAUCGGAAUUACUGGGCGUAAAGCGUGCGCAGGCGGUUAUAUAAGACAGAUGUGAAAUCCCCGGGCUCAACCUGGGACCUGCAUUGUGACUGUAUAGCUAGAGUACGGUAGAGGGGGAUGGAAUUCCGCGUGUAGCAGUGAAAUGCGUAGAUAUGCGGAGGAACACCGAUGGCGAAGGCAAUCCCCUGGACCUGUACUGACGCUCAUGCACGAAAGCGUGGGGAGCAAACAGGAUUAGAUACCCCCGUAGUCCCUGUCUCUUAUACC